UACGUAGGGUCCAAGCGUUAUCCGGAAUCACUGGGCGUAAAGCGUGCGUAGGCGGCGUGUUAAGUGUGAUGUUAAAUCGUGUGGCUCAACCAUAUCGAUGCAUUGCAUACUGGCAUGCUAGAGGAAGGCAGAGGCAAGUGGAAUUGGCAGUGUAGCAGUGAAAUGCGUAGAGAUUGCCAGGAACACCAAUGGCGAAGGCAGCUUGCUGGGCCUUUUCUGACGCUGAGGUACGAAAGCGUGGGGAGCGAACAGG
rnacentral:rRNA from 1 species